rnacentral:tRNA from 1 species
GUUUCUGUAGCGCAACUACUUAGCGUGUUAAGCUGUUAACUGAAAUGUUGGUGGUUUGAGCCCACCCAGGGAAA